GGAGAUGAACGUGUUCCUUUUCGGCCCGGCUUUUCCGUCGCGUUAUUCGGUCGCGCACGCCGGCGGGCCCUGAAACAUCGUCAUUGUCGUCACCACUGCCUUCCCUCUAGCAGUGUACUGUCGCCAGCCAGGGUUGGACGCGAGUGUUGGUGUUUGUCGGUUCUUUAAUAGUGUUCCGUACUUGGUGCGCGUCGUACCGCGUAGCCGCCGGGGAUACGAACGUACGAAAUGGAGCCACGGCGCGAAAAGAAUGCUCGAUCGAAGAUCACCAACUGGACGACAUCGCAUCAUCAACGCUUUGAGGAGUGUAAAGGAGCAGCAACUGUGAUUAACGUUUCAUGCCGAUAUUAGGAGCUUCUAUAUAUACACGUUGAAUAUAUAUAUAUAUACGUUGAUAUCUAUAAAUAUAUAUAUAUACAAACACACACAUGUUCCAUAUAUUUUUGGAUUGCCUGUUGAAGCAAGAGCGCAACUUGAUUCUAGCGGAGAAUCGAGGGAGAAGAGUCGAGAGUGAAGUGCUGUGGCAGAGUGCGCGCAUAUCACAUACAGUG